CCAAAUACUUUUCUGGCUAAUUAUCUUACAGUUACCGAUACUCACAUUCCUGAGCUCCACCUCAGCCUUCGCUGCCAUGAUCCACCGCGUUACGGUGUCUCUGCAUUUUUUCUCGACCCUUCACUCCCAACUACGGAAUUCAGAUAAGCGCACUUGAAAACUUCUGCUUGUUACACACAAUGUCUGCCAUUACAGUUUCUCUUCUCACCGUUAGAUCAUCCUUCUCAAAUCCUUCGGUUCUCUCACCUUGCAAUUUCAACCGUCUACUGUCGACUUCAUUAAGCCCCACAAAGCUCCACCGCAGUACCCAUUUAUUUAAAUUAUCUAAUGGCUUCUCCAGCCCAUUACAAGCCUCAACAACCGAUAAUAAUGAUUCUAUUACUAAUGUUACUGCCUCUGGCAGCUUGUCAACCGUUACAGUCCAAAACGUCGACGCGUUAGACUCCACGCUCUUCAUAAUCCGAGCCCGGAACAAAAUCGGGCUGCUUCAAGUUAUCACUCGGGUUUUCAAAGUCCUCGGCCUCUUUGUUGAAAGAGCCACUGUCGAAUUUGAAGGGGAUUUUUUUAUUAAAAAGUUCUAUGUAAAAACUUCGGAGGGCAGGAAAAUCGAGAAUGUUGAAAAUUUGGAGAUUAUUAAGAAGGCAUUGAUGGAGGCAAUUGAGCCCGGUGAUGCUUCUAGUGGCGCGGAAGUGGGGUUGGGUGGAAGAGGGUUGGUGGUGAGGAAAGCUGGGCUCGGAUUUGAAUCGCUGGGAGAUCACAGAGCAAAGGCAGAGAAGAUGUUUGGAUUGAUGGAUGGGUUUUUGAAGAAUGAUCCAGUAAGUUUGCAGAAGGAUAUUGUCUAUCAUGUUGAGUACACGGUGGCCAGGUCAAGGUUCAGUUUUGAUGAUUUUGAAGCUUAUCAGGCAUUAUCCCACAGCGUAAGAGAUCGGCUUAUCGAGCGGUGGCACGACACUCACCAAUAUUUUAAGAAAAAAGAUCCAAAACGCCUAUACUUUCUUUCACUUGAGUUUCUUAUGGGUUGCUCAUUGUCAAACAGUGUCAUAAACCUUGGCAUUCGAGACCAGUAUGUAGAUGCUUUGGGCCAACUUGGGUUUGAGUUUGAAGUUUUAGCUGAGCAGGAAGGAGAUGCAGCCCUAGGUAAUGGUGGCUUAGCUCGGCUUUCAGCUUGCCAGAUGGAUUCUUUAGCAACGUUGGAUUUUCCAGCAUGGGGUUAUGGACUCCGUUAUCAAUAUGGGCUAUUCAGGCAAAUUAUAGUAGAUGGGUUUCAACACGAACAGCCAGAUUAUUGGCUGAACUUUGGAAAUCCCUGGGAAAUAGAGAGGGUUCAAGUGUCAUAUGCUGUGAAGUUCUAUGGGACAGUUGAAGAGGAAGUUUCAAAUGGAUCAAAUUAUAAAGUUUGGAUACCUGGAGAAACAGUUGAAGCUGUUGCAUACGACAAUCCUAUUCCUGGAUAUGGAACACGAAAUGCUAUUAAUCUUCGGCUAUGGGCUGCUAAACCAAGUGGUCAGUAUGACCUGGAAUCUUACAAUACUGGUGACUAUAUCAAUGCUGUGGUAAACAGACAGAAGGCUGAAAUCAUAAGCAAUGUCUUGUAUCCUGAUGAUCGUUCUUAUCAGGGUAAGGAAUUGCGAUUAAAGCAACAAUACUUCUUUGUUUCGGCAUCUAUACAAGACAUAAUUCGGCGGUUUAAAGAUGUCCAUGAUAACUUUGACGAAUUCACAGAGAAGAUCGCUCUUCAGAUAAAUGAUACUCAUCCGUCACUUGCAAUAAUUGAGGUCAUGAGAGUUCUCUUUGAUGAAGAACACUUGGGCUGGGAUAAAGCAUGGGAUAUUGUCUGCAAAAUUUUCUCAUUCACAACUCACACAGUACAACCUGAAGGACUAGAGAAAAUUCCUGUUGAUCUUAUGGGCAGUCUUCUCCCACGUCACCUACAAAUUAUAUAUGACAUAAAUUAUAAAUUUAUGGAAGAGUUGAAAAAGAAGUUUGGUCAGGACUACAGUCGACAUGCUCGGAUGUCAAUUGUGGAGGAAGGCGCUGUGAAGAGUAUUCGUAUGGCAAAUUUGUCGAUUGUUUGUUGUCAUAAGGUGAAUGGUGUUUCCAGAGUACAUUUCGAAUUACUGAAAACAAGAGUAUUCAAGGAUUUCUAUGACCUGUGGCCACUGAAGUUCCAAUAUAAGACAAACGGAGUAACACAGCGGCGGUGGAUAGUGGUGAGCAAUCCUAGUUUAUGCGCUGUCAUCUCGAAAUGGCUUGGAACAGAAGCAUGGGUUCGUAAUAUUGAUCUCUUAGCAGGUUUACGGGAUUAUGCAUCAGAUGCUGAUCUACAACAAGAAUGGAGGAUGGUGAAGAAGAUAAAUAAAAUGAGGCUGGCAGAGUAUAUUGAAACUCUGAGCGGAGUGAAGGUCAGUUUAGAUGCAAUGUUUGACGUGCAGAUAAAGCGGAUACACGAGUAUAAAAGGCAACUUCUGAAUGUAUUAGGCAUCAUACAUCGAUACGACUGCAUUAAGAGUAUGAACGAGAGUGACAGAAGGAAGGUUGUACCUCGUGUCUGCAUAAUUGGUGGGAAAGCUGCUCCUGGCUAUGAAAUUGCUAAGAAGAUUAUAAAACUCUGUCAUGCGGUUGCAGAAAAAGUAAACAAUGACCCUGGUGUGGGAGAUCUGCUCAAACUGAUUUUUAUCCCAGAUUACAAUGUCUCUGUUGCUGAAUUAGUAAUCCCAGGCAGUGAUCUCUCACAGCAUCACUGCAGGACAUGAGGCAUCAGGGACUGGUAGUAUGAAAUUUCUGAUGAAUGGAUGCUUACUCUUAGCUACUGCCGAUGGAUCGACUGUUGAAAUAAUUGAAGAAAUAGGAGCAGAUAACAUGUUUCUGUUAGGUGCAAGAGUAAGUGAAGUUCCAGCAUUACGAGAUCAAGGAGCUUCUGUUAGAGUGCCUCUUCAAUUUGUGCGAGUUGUAAGAAUGGUCCGGGAUGGCUAUUUUGGUUUCAAGGACUACUUCGAGUCAUUAUGCAACACUGUAGAGAAUGGCAAAGAUUUCUAUUUGUUGGGAGCUGAUUUUGCUAGUUAUCUUGAGGCUCAGGCUGCUGCUGAUUUGGCAUUUGUUAAUCAAGAGAAGUGGACUCGCAUGAGCAUUCUUAGUACUUCUGGUUCUGGAAGGUUUAGCAGUGAUAGAACAAUUGAAGAAUAUGCUGAACAAACCUGGGGAAUUGAACCGUGCAAAUGUCCCUUUUAACGGUUAGCAAGACAACACACACUUGGUGGAUAUUACACUACACAAAAAUUUGGCUUCUUUUUCUUAUUUAUUUUCCAGUACUCGGUGCCAAACAUGCCGCCAAGUUUUAACAAGCCAUACUCUUCGUGCCCUUGCACACAAGAUGCCUUUUGAAACACUUCAGCUACUUGUGCAGCUCUGUUGGUCGAGGCUUGGAAUAGGGCUGUUUUUUCAUCAUCAUCAUCAAGGUAACACUGUACUUUUGUUUACUCAGGUUGAUAUCAGUAUGUGAAAGGUAUAUAAAACAGUGGUUAUUGCAAGCAUCAGAAGAGGGUGGCCAGUUUCUACUUCUUAACGACGUUUUCUUUAUACUAUGUAUCAUAAUAUUGGCUUGCACGAUAAUAACAUGAAGAACCGCGUCUUCUUGCUUCUCUCUGUGCGAUGAGAAUAAUGACAUGAUCCCUUACAAUUGCUCAUUAUGUGUAAACCUUACUAGUUACGUGUCUAUACCAUAUGAGAAUUUUUACAUUGAGCGUUGUCAAUUGUAAUUACUCCAAUUGCACUUUUAUUUACCAGAAUCUGUAAGCGUUCUUAUUAUUUAA